UGCGUGCUGUUCCAUUGUGAGUGAACAUUGGAGUAAGAAUCCAUUGCAGUCCUCCUCCCUGCCAGAGAAGGGCGCUGGUCACGAUAUUGAGCUUGCCAUAUAUACCAGCGUGGGAGUCGAUUGGGCGGAAGCGCUAUUGUCCGACUGCACUGAAUCCAUCUUGUAUUUGUUCUGGUCAAGCCUUCUGUCAAGGAUAUACUCAGGACUCAGAGAAUCCCCACUGAAGAUAUACGUGCUCUGAGUGUCACAUGGAGUGGAAUAUCCAGGCAGAUGCCGAAGACAGUAACUACAUCAGUAGAAUCACAGGAGAUUCCAGCGACCAUAGAUUCACAGGUACAGAGCUGAUGAUCAACGGUCCUGAGGGCAGCAGAGCAAAGACACAGGUUAGUGUAACACCAAAAGGUAAGUAUAUGUUACGUCUGGCAAGGAGAGCUUCAGGAGACAAGAGUGAAGAGUCUGUUCCUGU